rnacentral:rRNA from 2 species
UCUGGUUGAUCCUGCCAGAGGCUAUUGCUAUCAGGGUUUGACUAAGCCAUGCGAGUCGAGAGGUGAAAGACCUCGGCAUACUGCUCAGUAACACGUGGAUAAUCUGCCCUCAGGUGAGGAAUAAUCCCGGGAAACUGGGGCUAAUACCUCAUAGGAGACAGGUGCUGGAAUGCUCUGUCUCCGAAAGGUCUGCCGCCUGAGGAUGAGUCUGCGUCCGAUUAGGUAGUUGUUGGGGUAACGGCCCAACAAGCCAUUGAUCGGUACGGGUUGUGGGAGCAAGAGCCCGGAGAUGGAUUCUGAGACAUGAAUCCAGGCCCUACGGGGCGCAGCAGGCGCGAAAACUUUACAAUGCGAGCAAUCGUGAUAAGGAAACCCUGAGUGCCUGUCAAUGCAGGCUGUUCUGGUGUCUAACACACACCAGGAGAAAGGGCGGGGCAAGACCGGUGCCAGCCGCCGCGGUAAUACCGGCUGCUCGAGUGAUAGCCGCUUUUACUGGGCUUAAAGCGUUCGUAGCUUGGUCGUUAAGUCUCUGGGGAAAUCUUUUGGCUUAACCAAAAGGCGUCUCAGGGAAACUGGCGAUCUUGGAACCGGGAGAGGUAAGACGUACUUCGGGGGUAGGAGUGAAAUCUUGUAAUCCCCGAGGGACGACCGAUGGCGAAGGCAUCUUACCAGAACGGCUUCGACAGUGAGGGACGAAAGCUGGGGGAGCAAACCGGAUUAGAUACCCGGGUAGUCCCAGCCGUAAACGAUGUGCGUUAGGUGUGUCAGUGACCACGAGUCGCUGAGGUGCCGAAGGGAAACCGUGAAACGCACCGCCUGGGAAGUACGGUCGCAAGGCUGAAACUUAAAGGAAUUGGCGGGGGAGCACCACAACGGGUGGAGCCUGCGGUUUAAUUGGAUUCAACGCCGGACAACUCACCGGAUACGACAGCGGAAUGAUAGCCGGGCUGAAGACUCUGCUUGACCAGCUGAGAGGAGGUGCAUGGCCGUCGUCAGUUCGUACUGUGAAGCAUCCUGUUAAGUCAGGCAACGAGCGAGACCCACGCCAACAGUUGCCAGCAUGAUCUCCGGAUUGAUGGGGACACUGUUGGGACCGCCUCUGCUAAAGAGGAGGAAGGAAUGGGCAACGGUAGGUCAGCAUGCCCCGAAUUAUCCGGGCUACACGCGGGCUA